AUACGUAGGGGGCGAGCGUUGUCCGGAAUGAUUGGGCGUAAAGGGCGCGUAGGCGGCCCGGUAAGUCUGGUGUGAAAGUCCUGUUUUUAAGAUGGGAAUUGCUUUGGAUACUGUCGGGCUUGAGUGCAGGAGCGGGUAGUGGAAUUACCAUUGUAGGGGUGAAACGCGUAGAGAUUGGGAGGAACACCAGUGGCGAAGGCGACUUACUGGACUGUAACUGACGCUGAGGCGCGAAAGUGUGGGGAGCAAACAGGAUUAGAUACCCUGGUAGUCCACACUGUAAACGAUGAAUGCUAGGUGUAGGGGGUAUCGACCCCUUCUGUGCCGCAGUCAACACAAUAAGCAUUCCGCCUGGGGAGUACGGCCGCAAGGUUGAAACUCAAAGGAAUUGACGGGG
rnacentral:rRNA from 1 species